rnacentral:lncRNA from 7 species
ACAUGGAAAAAGCAAUUGACUUAACUUCUGCUCUAAGACACCGCUUUUUUUUGCUCUACCGUCCCUGCGUGAAUCAUGCAAUAGAUCAAUGGAGUGUGGUAUCUUCGAUCGAACCGAUGCCGGCGACCUAACGACCUGCACGGGUGGCGUGUGUCGUGCACUCGUAUUCCUCAUCAUCUCUCGCAAGAAGUACCGUAAGUAAAUCAACAAUUCGUUUUUUGGUUAAGCGAUGUUGAUUUCUUGUUUAGAUCUAUUAUUAUUUUAUUCCAUAUGCAUUAUUAUUCGUGAAUUGCUUAACAUCUUCUUAGGUCUAUCCUCAUGUGAAUUAUCUGUUGCUAUAUCUGUGUUUUACCUUUUUCGCUGCAUGAUAAAAUUAGUAUUAGACCCUGUUAAUUUUAUAACAUCACAGUCUGUAUGUGCCAAUUUGUGCGUCUGCACUCUAGAUUAUCUUUUAAUUGCUUAUUAUGAAAUGUUAGUUUCAUAAUAAAUCAGACAGAUGUAUUAGCACUUUGUGGAUCUCAAGUAAAAGAGGCCUGCUGUUGGAAGGUCAGGAAGAAGGUGGAGAUUUUGAGUCAGACCAUCAACGCGUAUGUGUUUUAGCG